rfam:Salmo salar isolate Sally breed double haploid chromosome ssa13, whole genome shotgun sequence.
AUUUUUUACAUUUGUAAGUCGCUCUGGAUAAGAGUGUCUGCUAAAUGAUGUAAA